GUAGGUGAACCUGCGGAAGGAUCAUUACAGAGUGAGGGUCUACUCGGCCCGACCUCCCAACCCUUUGAUUACCGAACCUCUGUUGCUUCGGUGGGCCCGUCCUUCACGGACCGCCGGAGGAGUCGCCGCGAGGCGUCCUCUGGCCCGCUGCCCACCGACAGCCAACCACUACAAACUCGAAAUAAUCGUGUCACGCGUCUAAGUCAAUUGAUAAAAUUAAAGCAAAACUUUCAACAACGGAUCUCUUGGU
rnacentral:misc_RNA from 1 species